AUACGUUCCUGACAGGGGAGAUACCAUAAUCACCCCUAUGCUUUUCCCAGAGCAAGGCUUAUCUAUUGUACUCCAACUAUGCUGACCCCUGCAAUUUCCCCAAAUGUGUGAAAUUAGACUGCCUAAUUUGCAAUAGUGGUGGACUUCUUUCAUGUGCUCCCCUA
ensembl:snRNA U1 U1 spliceosomal RNA